GACGAACGCUGGCGGCGUGCUUAACACAUGCAAGUCGAACGGAAAGGCCCUGCUUUUUUGGGGUGCUCGAGUGGCGAACGGGUGAGUAACACGUGAGUAACCUGCCCUUGACUUUGGGAUAACUUCAGGAAACUGGGGCUAAUACCGGAUAGGAGCUCCUGCUGCAUGGUGGGGGUUGGAAAGUUUCGGCGGUUGGGGAUGGACUCGCGGCUAAUCAGCUUGUUGGUUGGGUAGUGGCUUACCAAGGCUUUGACGGGUAGCCGGCCUGGGAGGGUGACCGGCGACAUGGGGACUGCGAUACGGCCCAGAGUCGUACGGGAGGCAGCAGUGGGGAAUAUUGCACAAUGGGAGGAAGCCGGAUGCAGAAACGCCGCGUGCGGGAUGACGGCCUUCGGGUUGUAAACCGCUUUCGCCUGUGACGAAGCGUGAGUGACGGUAAUGGGUAAAGAAGCACCGGCUAACUACGUG
rnacentral:rRNA from 1 species